CUGGGAUUGCAGGCGUGAGCCACCGUGCCCGGCUGGAUUUUUAUUUUUUUAAUUUAUUUUUAGUCAACUUACUCGCCUUUUAUUUACCAGCAGUUUGCUCUGACAGAA